AAGGGGGAGGUAGAGAAGUGACUCUACCCCGCUGAGCCUGGGCCUGCAGCGGCAACCGCAGACCCUCCCGAGGAAGCGGAGGGUGGAGCGGAGCACGCUCCCGGAGUGGUGGUCAGCCGGCUUUGCAAGGCAACUCUGAACCUAACCGCCCUGGAUUCUGUGCCCUGCCGCGCCCACCUUCCACCUUCGGCCGUCUUCCUUCCACCCACUUCUCAGCACACUGAGCAAAAGCCAGCACAUUCAUGGGGCCAACUGAUUCUUCAUUUAGACAGGGAGUUUUUGUUAAGAGGUCUUGCGAGGAAGCUGGGGCGCACAGACAGGUGGUGACCGGCCCAAAGUGGCGUAACUGAUCUACCCGGCACUUGUCAUACCACAAGGCUUGUGGGAUCUUAGUUCCCGGACCAGGGAUCGAACUCGCACUCCCUGCAGUGGAAGUUUGGAGUCCUAACCGCUGGACUGCCAGGGAAGUCCCAGGAGUUGGAUAUUGAAGGAAGUGGAUGUGGACAGAUGAAGAGAGAAGGAGACCUUCAAGGCAGGAGCGUCCGUUAGAGAUACAGCCAGAGGCACAGGAACAGCUGCAACCUGUGUGAGAGAAGAGGUCGCCCCUGUGAAGCCAACAGAACUGCAGUCUGGUCUGGGUCUUGCCGCCAGCCAGCCCUGUGACCUCGAGCUUGUCCCUUCCUCUCUCUGGACUUUGGUAAUUCUAUUUGUAAAAUAAGGAGUUCAACUAGGUCGGCAUUUUCUAAACUGUGGUUUUGCAAUCCAUUACAAGAUGGUGAAAUAAAUUUAGUGAGUCAGAACCAGAAUUCAAAAAAAAAAAGGAAAGCAACUAUAUCAGAAUCAGAGCAUUGCACAUAGUAGAAAUAAGUAGUACAUAAAGAAAUGAGUGGCACAGUGGUUAAGAAUCUGCCUGCCAAUGCAGGGGACACGGGUUCGAUCCCUGGUCCGGGAAGAUCCCACAUGCCGCAGAGCAACUAAGCCCACACGCCACAACUACUGAGCCUGCACUCUAGAGCCUGCAAGCCGCAACUACUGAAACUGGCGCGCCCCACAGCCCACGCUCCGAAAGAAGAGAAGCCACCGCAAUGAGAAGCCUGUGCACUGCAACGAAGAGUAGCCCCCGCUUGCCACGACUAGAGAGAGUCUGCAUGCAGCAACGAAUACCCAAUGCAACCAAAAAAAAAGAAAAGAAAAAAAAAGACAUGGGGGAAAAAUUAGUGCAAUCUGCCUGAUGGUCCCUGAGGGAGUUUGCACGUUGAGGUGUUGGCAUUUCAGGAGCUUGAUGUUUCUGAGGACAUUUGGGACAAAAUACUGGAAACCGUGAGUCCACGAUAUCUGAAAAUCCAAUACAUAAACAGAUGGAUUCAUUUAAUCCCUCCUUCUGCAAAUAAGGAAACAGCAAACCGGAGAGAAGGCAACAGGCCAAGGUGACACAGUGGGUUAGAACCCAUUCUUGGUCCACUGAAUGGUGGUGUCUGCUGGGGGGUGCGUGGGAUUGUGAGGGUGUAGGAAGAGGUGGUAUUUCAGAAGGCCAACUAACGAGUCCUCUGGGAAGGUAGCUGCCUGCUCAAAAAGCCUGCACACUUAAAAUAAAACAGCUCAGCCUGGCUCCCCUCCGUCAAAGAAGGCGGCCCCGCCCCUGCCCUGCUGGCUAAUUCCUUGGCAGUCACAUUAGUUAAAACUGGGUUAACCCUUGACACCCGGCCCAGCUCCAGGGAAGGACGCAGACCCCAGUCUCACUCCCUCCAUGGCCCCAGCAGAGAUAGAAUGUUAAACAAGGAAAGGUGAACCCACAAGCUAACUAUUUUUAGUCCAAGAAUUGGUUGCCAGGGACAUUAAGCUCAUUCCCUGCCGUAUAUCAAGGAAGCGACAGUGAAGAUGUUUGCAAGGGUCUAAUUGCGGAGAUUUAUUGUAAAAUGCAGCUCAUCAGCUCCAUGCCCGGGUUCAAUCUCCCAGCUCUGGGUAUCUGAGCUAUUUGCUGAUUGCUUGGGUGGAGGGGAAGGGAGUGGGGUGCAGAAGGGGCAGGUGCUGUGCCCUGGAACCCUGGGCAAUCCUCAGCUGACCUUGUGCGAAGAGUCCUUGAGCCCAGGAGGAAGUAGAGAAGUUAAAACAGACGGGCCAAGCAGGAGGGGCUGGGGCUGCUGCGCCCCCAGUCAGCAAGACUCAACCUUGACUUUCUUUGUGCCUUCAGAUCUGGAAAAGCCUCCUGUGGGGACCACGCUGACAGCUUUCACUCUUGCCCAUGGACCACAGUACAGGAGGCUGCAGACUUGGGUUAUAGCAGGAUGGGUCAGUUAGACAGAAGGAGGACCCCCUUGACAUGAAAGUGAUUGAUGCAGGCAGAGGCAACAACGUCUGGUCUUGGUGCUGGUUGUUCUUCUGCGAAAAUGAGGGGGGGCGAGGAGAGCAAACACCUAGCAGAGCCCACUCUGUGCCAGACACACUGGGGGCACCUGGACAGAGUGUUAUUUAAUCCUCUGCAGAGGAGGACUCUGGGUCCACUGCACAUUGCAUAGAUAGGGAAACUGAGGCUCAGGUGAAGAGAGUAACCUAAGGUCACAUGGCAGCCAGAGGAGCAAAACUGGAAUUUUAAGCAGAAUGUUUUCAACUCCAGAGCUCUGCUUACUGACCUAGGAUCCUAGGAGCUGCAAGGAGGGGGUCCUUUCCCGCUUUGUUCCUCCAUACCUGGAAUUCUGGGGCAAAAAGACAUCCAUCCAUCCAUCCACUCAACAAAUGUACCAAGUGCUGCAGCAAGCCUCUGGAAUACAGAAAUAGAACAUGGCGUCUGCCCACAAGGAGCCCACGUGGAGAGGUCGUUUCAUCUAGCCCCCUGCCUCUCCUCAUCCUCUCCAAAGAGGGCACUCUGCAUUGCAAACAGCUCAAUAAAGGAAGGGCUGCACACUUCCCUGUGUCAGGAAGCUUUAGGAAGCUUCUGUCAUCCCAGGUAAGGGGUAGGGGAAGGACGGCUUGGACUCUCGGUAUCUUGGGGGAAGACUGGACUCAGGCCUACUUUCCUUAUUUAGAAACGUGGACUAAUGAUGCAGAACCACCUUAUGGGAAAGCUAAAUGAGAAAAGGAAGGUUGAACGCCGCUGGCCAUGGGUUCAACUUUCCUGAGACGAGCUAAAGUUGGGUUGAUCAUUAUAGCAAAACUCUGUGAUCAGGCAUCCAGGUAUAUGGUUAUUCUUUACAAUUAUUUUUAAGUUGUAUGUGUAUAUAUAUAUAUAUUUUUUUAAUAGCUACCACAGAGCUUGCACAUGAUGCAGAAAUCAAAAGGUGCACAGGAUAUAGCCUGAAAAUUUCCUUCCCUUCCCUGCUCUCAGCCUCCUAAUUCCUCUUUCCAGAGGCUCCACGGUUAUCAGUUUCCUGACAGAGAUCGCCUGUCUAUCUACAUAAACAAGCAAUUAUGGCUGUAUAUUCUUUUUGUUUCAAACAUGAUUUUGUUUCAUACAAACAUGAUUUUCUGUACCUUGCUUUCUUCCACUUAAUUUAUCUUGGAGAUUUUUCCAAAUCAGCCCAUAAAGAGUGUCCCCAUUCAUUCCUUUUCCUGGCUGCAUAAUAUUCCAUGUGUUAGAUGAACCAUGGUCUACUUAUCUUGUCCCCAGUGAUGGACAUUUAGAUGUUUCUCAUCUUUGGCUCUUAUCAGCAGUGCUGCUAAAAAAUAACCUUGUUCAUAAAUCUUUUGGCAUUUAUAAGAGUAUAUCUACAGGAUAUCAUGUCCAUGGCCCAUGAACGUGUGCAUUUAUAAUUUUGAUACUUGCCAAAUGUAUAAUUUUGAUUAUUGCCAAAUCAUCCUCCAGAUAGAUUGCAAAAUUUACAGUGUCUUAGGGUGGGUUUUCCCAGAGGCAGACCCUGGGCUAAGGAUUUAGAACAGGUAGUUUAUUUGGGGGGUGAUCCCAGGAAGCUCUAGUAGGGGAGUGGGGAAGGAAGCUGAGCACGUAACCCCAGUGGUGACUGGAGCUUAAUCCCACGGAGGAAACUGGGGAGCCUGUGUGGGGUGCGUGUCUCAGCGUUAUCCUAGUGGGGGUGUGAGCGUGAGAUUCCUCCAGAGACAUGGGUGUCCUGUUGCCCUACUCCUUCACCAAAGGCACGUGGCUCUUCUGCAAGCCCAGUCCUCUUUCCCUUAAUACCCCUCCCCUCACCCCACCCUGCUGCCCUACCCCAGGCUGACACCUGAUCAUCUGCCCCUGCAGGAUCCCUCCCAGCUGCUGAGCCCUAGAAAAGGUCCAGAAGCAUGUCUGGGGUAACUCGAUGCUAAGCUCCCUAAAAGGAAACUACCCCUGGCUCUUCCGUUGUGCCCCGUUCCCACCUCCAGGCAUCAGUACAAAAAGUACCCACUCCAGGGCUUCCCUGGUGGCGCAGUGGUUGAGAGUCCGCCUGCCGAUGCAGGGGACACGGGUUCGUGCCCCGGUCCGGGAGGAUCCCACGUGCCGCGGAGCGGCUGGGCCCGUGAGCCAUGGCCGCUGAGCCUGUGCGUCCGGAGCCUGUGCUUCGCAGCUGGAGAGGCCACAACAGUGAGAGGCCCGCGUACCGCAAAAAAAAAAAAAAAAAGGAACAGAGUAAAGUGGUAUGUGAGCAUCAUGGGGCACACACUGGUUAAUUCUCCCUGAGCGGGGAGUAGAGAAACACCACAGAGAACCUGAGGGCAUCUGAAGUGGGUUUCAAUGGAUAGGUAGGAGUUUUCCAGAGGGACCUCAAUGAUCCUUUCAGUAAGUCUAGCGCCAAAAUUCUAUUCCCCAGGCCACCUCAGCAUUUCCAAACUGCAUCCUACAAACUCUAGUAUCUUCAAGAUGUAAAUUCAGUGCCCUCAGGGGGAAAAAAAUGUUUCCAUGAUGGAAAAGGUUUGGGAAGCAAAGAGUUCAAAUUAAACAGUCUCCCUUGCUAUGGGACUCCUCAGACCCUUUACUGUACUCACUUCACUGUGAACGUCUGGGGAGGGGUUAGAGACUAAGGAUUUCCCUUCCUCCCUCUCCUCAUCUUGAAGAGUUCCAUGGAAUCCAGUUGGGAAGGUUCUCCUGGAGAUUUCCAGGUGAGCGCGGACUCCGGCACUCCACGGAGGCCUGGGCUGGCUCCCAGCCCCUGCCUGCCAUGCACAUGCUGCAGCUGACUAUCCAUCCAUCCAGACAGGCCUUUACAAGCCCAGUAUCUCCAGAGGGCUCUUGGCCUGCUUCCCUCCCCACCUACAGCCAGGCCGGAGGCCCCAUGCAUGCUAAACAGGCCUGCCCCUCAGUACGGUCCCAGGAUGGAGAGCUGCAGGCUAGUUGGAAAGCCGAGGAGGAAGGCGAAAGCGUCUUUCA